AGUGAACGCUGGCGGUAGGCCUAACACAUGCAAGUCGAACGGCAGCACAGUAAUAGCUUGCUCUUACGGGUGGCGAGUGGCGGACGGGUGAGGAAUACAUCGGAAUCUACUUUUUCGUGGGGGAUAACGUAGGGAAACUUACGCGAAUACCGCAUACGACCUACGGUUGAAAGCAGGGGAUCUUCUGACCUUGCGCGAUUGAAUGAGCCGAUGUCGGAUUAGCUAGUUGGCGGGGUAAAGGCCCACCAAGGCGACGAUCCGUAGCUGGUCUGAGAGGAUGAUCAGCCACACUGGAACUGAGACACGGUCCAGACUCCUACGGGAGGCAGCAGUGGGGAAUAUUGGACAAUGGGCGAAAGCCUGAUCCAGCCAUACCGCGUGGGUGAAGAAGGCCUUCGGGUUGUAAAGCCCUUUUGUUGGGAAAGAAAAGCAGCAGGUUAAUACCCCGCUGUUCUGACGGUACCCAAAGAAUAAGCGCCGGCUAACUUCGUG
rnacentral:rRNA from 1 species